rnacentral:tRNA from 1 species
GCUCACGUAGCUCAGUCGGUAGAGCACUUCCUUGGUAAGGAAGAGGUCGAAGGUUCGAUUCCUUCGUGAGCACCA